AUUGAACGCUAGCGGGAUGCUUUACACAUGCAAGUCGAACGGCAGCGCGAGAGAGCUUGCUCUCUUGGCGGCGAGUGGCGGACGGGUGAGUAAUAUAUCGGAACGUGCCCAGUAGCGGGGGAUAACUACUCGAAAGAGUGGCUAAUACCGCAUACGCCCUACGGGGGAAAGGGGGGGAUCGCAAGACCUCUCACUAUUGGAGCGGCCGAUAUCGGAUUAGCUAGUUGGUGGGGUAAAGGCUCACCAAGGCAACGAUCCGUAGCUGGUUUGAGAGGACGACCAGCCACACUGGGACUGAGACACGGCCCAGACUCCUACGGGAGGCAGCAGUGGGGAAUUUUGGACAAUGGGGGAAACCCUGAUCCAGCCAUCCCGCGUGUAUGAUGAAGGCCUUCGGGUUGUAAAGUACUUUUGGCAGAGAAGAAAAGGUACCUCCUAAUACGAGGUACUGCUGACGGUAUCUGCAGAAUAAGCACCGGCUAACUAC
rnacentral:rRNA from 1 species